GACAGAGGGUGCAAACGUUGUUCGGAAUUACUGGGCGUAAAGCGUGUGUAGGCGGCCACGUAAGUCGGAUGUGAAAGCCCCAGGCUCAACCUGGGAAGUGCACUCGAUACUGCGUGGCUUGAGUAUCGGAGAGGUUGGUGGAAUUCUCGGUGUAGAGGUGAAAUUCGUAGAUAUCGAGAGGAGCACCGGUGGCGAAGGCGGCCAACUGGACGAAUACUGACGCUGAGACACGAAAGCGUGGGGAGCAAACAGG
rnacentral:rRNA from 1 species